rnacentral:rRNA from 1 species
UGCGUAGGCGGGUCUUUAAGUCAGGGGUGAAAUCCUGGAGCUCAACUCCAGAACUGCCUUUGAUACUGAGGAUCUUGAGUUCGGGAGAGGUGAGUGGAACUGCGAGUGUAGAGGUGAAAUUCGUAGAUAUUCGCAAGAACACCAGUGGCGAAGGCGGCUCACUGGCCCGAUACUGACGCUGAGGCAAGACUGGGGAGGCGAAACA